CCACGGGGUGCAGCAGUGAGGAAUAUUGCACAAUGGGGGGAACCCUGAUGCAGCAACGCCGCGUGGAGGAUGACGCAUUUCGGUGUGUAAACUCCUUUUAUAUGUCAAGAAAAUGACGGUAGCAUAUGAAUAAGCACCGGCUAACUCCGUGCCAGCAGCCGCGGUAAUACGGAGGGUGCAAGCGUUACUCGGAAUCACUGGGCGUAAAGGACGCGUAGGCGGGUUGGAAAGUCAGGUGUGAAAUCCUACAGCUUAACUGUAGAACUGCACUUGAAACUUCUAAUCUAGAGUAUGGGAGGGGGAGAUGGAAUUAGUGGUGUAGGGGUAAUAUCCGUAGAUAUCACUAGGAAUACCUAAAGCGAAGGCGACCUCCUGGAACAUUACUGACGCUAAGGCGUGAAAGCGUGGGGAGCAAACAGGAUUAGAUACCCUCGUAGUC
rnacentral:rRNA from 1 species